rnacentral:misc_RNA from 1 species
GGAAUCUCUAACAACUCUUGUGCCAUUUUUCAAACCCCCACCACCACUCAGACUAAUGGAUCCAACAACUUUGAUUUACCUAUUGCAAGGAGAUCUUCACUUUAUAGGUUUCUUGAGAAGAGAAAAGACAGGGACACGGCUAGAGCGCCAUACCAAAUGCAUAAUCCAUUGCAAUCAUCUUCAAGGACUCGUGGAGAUCAUUUUGAUCUCAAUUUCUAGUUAUAACUCAACUCUUCGAUUCGAAGAUAUUGUUAGUAACUAGGACAACUUGAUAUAAC